UACGAAGGGGGCUAGCGUUGCUCGGAAUCACUGGGCGUAAAGGGUGCGUAGGCGGGUCUUUAAGUCAGGGGUGAAAUCCUGGAGCUCAACUCCAGAACUGCCUUUGAUACUGAAGAUCUUGAGUUCGGGAGAGGUGAGUGGAACUGCGAGUGUAGAGGUGAAAUUCGCAGAUAUUCGCAAGAACACCAGUGGCGAAGGCGGCGCACUGGCCCGAUACUGACGCUGAGGCACGAAAGCGUGGGGAGCAAACAGG
rnacentral:rRNA from 1 species